rnacentral:pre_miRNA from 1 species
UGGUGAUGAUGAUGGUGAUGAUGAUGAUGAUGAUGAUGAUGAUGAUCGUCAUCGUCAUCGUCAUCGCCGUCGUCAUCGUCUUCAUCGUCAUCUUCAUCAUCAUCAAUAUAA